rnacentral:rRNA from 1 species
CCUACGGGAGGCAGCAGUGGGGAAUAUUGGACAAUGGGGGGAACCCUGAUCCAGCCAUGCCGCGUGUGUGAAGAAGGCCCUCGGGUUGUAAAGCACUUUCAGUGAGGAAGAACGCCUGGUGGUUAAUACCCAUCAGGAAAGACAUCACUCACAGAAGAAGCACCGGCUAACUCCGUGCCAGCAGCCGCGGUAAUACGGAGGGUGCGAGCGUUAAUCGGAAUUACUGGGCGUAAAGCGCGCGUAGGUGGCUUGAUAAGCCGGUUGUGAAAGCCCCGGGCUCAACCUGGGAACGGCAUCCGGAACUGUCAAGCUAGGGUGCAGGAGAGGAAGGUAGAAUUCCCGGUGUAGCGGUGAAAUGCGUAGAGAUCGGGAGGAAUACCAGUGGCGAAGGCGGCCUUCUGGACUGAUACUGACACUGAGGUGCGAAAGCGUGGGUAGCAAACAGGAUUAGAUACCCCAGUAGUC